GACGUAGGAGGCGAGCGUUGUCCGGAUUCAUUGGGCGUAAAGCGCGCGUAGGCGGCUUGGCAAGUCGGAUGUGAAAACCCGAGGCUCAACCUCGGGCGUGCAUCCGAAACUGCCAGGCUAGAGGUAGGUAGGGGAGAUCGGAACUCCUGGUGUAGCGGUGAAAUGCGCAGAUAUCAGGAAGAACACCGGUGGCGAAGGCGGAUCUCUGGGCCUUACCUGACGCUGAGGCGCGAAAGCUAGGGGAGCGAACAGG
rnacentral:rRNA from 1 species